rnacentral:rRNA from 1 species
GAUGAACGCUGGCGGCGUGCUUAACACAUGCAAGUCGAACGAAGCAUUUAAGACAGAUUCCUUCGGUUUGAAGUCUUUUAUGACUGAGUGGCGGACGGGUGAGUAACGCGUGGGUAACCUGCCUCAUACAGGGGGAUAGCAGCUGGAAACGGCUGGUAAUACCGCAUAAGCGCACAGUACCACAUGGUACAGUGUGAAAAACUCCGGUGGUAUGAGAUGGACCCGCGUCUGAUUAGCUUGUUGGCGGGGUAACGGCCCACCAAGGCGACGAUCAGUAGCCGACCUGAGAGGGUGACCGGCCACAUUGGGACUGAGACACGGCCCAGACUCCUACGGGAAGCAGCAGUGGGGAAUAUUGCACAAUGGAGGAAACUCUGAUGCAGCGACGCCGCGUGAGUGAAGAAGUAGUUCGCUAUGUAAAGCUCUAUCAGCAGGGAAGAUAGUGACGGUACCUGACUAAGAAGCUCCGGCUAAAUACGUG